CGACACAUAGAAAACUGAAUUUCUUAAAUAAUAUAACAUAUAUAUACAAUACGUUCUUGCAAUACGCCGUUGACGAGCUUGACCUGAGAUGUAGUUAGUGGAGGGUUGGAGAACUUGAACGGAGAUGCAGCGGCGGACAGUUAGGGUGAACCAGUUGAGGAGGGUCAAUAGCUUAUCAACUGUAUCUGGAAGGAAUCGAAGAGAUCUAACUCCGUGUGUGCUGAUGAUGAUGUUAGAAUUGUGAAAGUAUGAAAAGAAUAUAAGAGAAUGGUUGAGUUUGGAAGAGAUUGUGUGAAGAACAACAGAGAGGAGCACAUGAUUUUGAUGAGAGAGAGA
rnacentral:lncRNA from 1 species